UACGAAGGGGGCUAGCGUUGUUCGGAAUCACUGGGCGUAAAGGGCGCGUAGGCGGCUUUAUAAGUCGGGGGUGAAAGCCUGUGGCUCAACCACAGAAUUGCCUUCGAUACUGUAGAGCUUGAGACCGGAAGAGGUUAGUGGAACUGCGAGUGUAGAGGUGAAAUUCGUAGAUAUUCGCAAGAACACCAGUGGCGAAGGCGGCUUACUGGUCCGGAUCUGACGCUGAGGCGCGAAAGCGUGGGGAGCAAACAGG
rnacentral:rRNA from 1 species